rnacentral:rRNA from 1 species
UUGGGAAUCUUGCACAAUGGGGGAAACCCUGAUGCAGCGACGCCGCGUGGAGGAUGAAGGAUCUAGGUCUGUAAACUCCUUUUUCAGGGAAAGACUUAGGACGGUACCCUGAGAAUAAGCACCGGCUAACUACGUGCCAGCAGCCGCGGUAAGACGUAGGGUGCAAGCGUUGUCCGGAUUUACUGGGCGUAAAGGGCGCGUAGGCGGCUCGUUAAGUGUGAAGUGAAAUCUCCAGUGCUCAACACGGAAACUGCUUUACAUACUGGCGAGCUAGAGGGUCGAAGAGGUGAAUGGAAUUCCUGGUGUAGCGGUGAAAUGCGUUGAUAUCAGGAGGAACACCCAUGGCGAAGGCAGUUCACUGGUCGGCAUCUGACGCUGAGGCGCGAAAGCGUGGGUAGCA